AACCACUCUGGUGGCCUAGUGGUUAGAGUGUCCAUCUCAGAUGCGAGAGGUCAUGGGUUUGAUCCCCGGUCAAGUUA